rnacentral:rRNA from 1 species
UACGUAGGGGGCAAGCGUUGUCCGGAAUCAUUGGGCGUAAAGAGCGUGUAGGCGGCCCGGUAAGUCCGCUGUGAAAGUCCAGGGCUCAACCCUGGGAUGCCGGUGGAUACUGUCGGGCUCGAGUCCGGAAGAGGAGUGUGGAAUUCCUGGUGUAGCGGUGAAAUGCGCAGAUAUCUGGAGGAACACCGAUGGCGAAGGCAGCCCCCUGGGUCAAGACUGACGCUCAUGCACGAAAGCGUGGGGAGCAAACGGG